UACGUAGGCAGCGAGCGUUGUUCGGAGUUACUGGGCGUAAAGGGUGUGUAGGCGGUUUCUAAGUUUGGUGUGAAAUCGUCCCGGCUCCAACCGGGAGGGUGCGCCGAAAACUGGGAGACUAGAGUGCGGGAUGGGAGAGUAGAAUUCCUGGUGUAGCGGUGAAAUGCGUAGAUAUCAGGAGGAAUACCGGUGGUGUAGACGCUCUCUGACCGCCACUGACGCGAGACGACGAAGCGUGGGUAGCAAACAGG
rnacentral:rRNA from 1 species